UACGUAGGUGGCAAGCGUUGUCCGGAUUUACUGGGCGUAAAGAGCGCGCAGGCGGUCGAUCAAGUCGCGUGUGAAAGCCCCCGGCUCAACUGGGGAGGGUCACGCGAUACUGAUCGACUCGAAGGCAGGAGAGGGUAGUGGAAUUCCCGGUGUAGUGGUGAAAUGCGUAGAUAAUCAGGAGGAACACCCGUGGCGAAAGCGGCUCUCUGGGACGGUACUGACGCUGAGACGCGAAAGCGUGGGGAGCAAACAGG
rnacentral:rRNA from 1 species